rnacentral:rRNA from 1 species
UACGGGGGGAGCAAGCGUUGUUCGGAUUUACUGGGCGUAAAGGGCGCGUAGGCGGCCACCGCAAGUCGACUGUGAAAUCUCCGGGCUUAACCCGGAAAGGUCAGCCGAUACUGCGGGGCUAGAGUGCAGAAGGGGCAACUGGAAUUCUCGGUGUAGCGGUGAAGUGCGUAGAUAUCAGGAGGAACACCUAAGGCGAAGGCAGCUCGCUGGAACGGUACUGACGCUGAGGCGCGAAAGCGUGGGGAGCAAACAGG